AGAGCAUCUGGGCUUAAGCCGGUUCAGCUCAGAGGUGGGUUUCGGAAGUCUGUGGCGGACCACCGCAGCAAGUCACCACUCAGCGUACAAGCCUUUCCAUUUCUGAAAAUAUAAAGAACUUAAGCAUGCGGCGUUCGGAGUGUAGAUUGCUUUGAGGUAUUUCAAAGCAGCGCUGAUCAUGGGCAGAGGAGCUGAUAUGUGCAACAGAAACUACUCACUGGAACUCUUCUGGAGGUCUGUCCUCUGUAAUGCAAGUGUCUGCCCUCACUCUGGCGGCUUUGCUAUUGGAAGGCUGGUGCUCAUCUUUCACUGUCCUCCACAGAGCGUGCCUCAGGACUGUAGGCAGCCUGUUUAUGCCAUUGUAAGACUACCCCUGGGAAGGAGGGACAGACCUAAAAAAUUCACUAACAAUUCUGACUAAACUUUCCAUUUAUUUGCUUGCAACUUUCAUGAUGCCACUUUUCCCAACAGCUAAGUAAUACUCCAUUGUAUAAAAAUACCAUAUUUUCAGUAUCCAUUAUUGGGUUGAGGAAGAACUAGGUUGUUUCCUGUUUCUGUCUAUUAUGAAUAAAGUCACCAUGAACAUGAUUGAGCAAGUAUAUUUGUUGGUAGGAUGGGAGGUAAUGCCCAAGAGUGAUAUAGCUCUAUCUUGUGGUAACUUUUUAUUUUCCAAAACCCAGAAAAAGAAAAUAAUUCAUCUUGAGUGAGAAAACUCAAAUAUAUAGGACUAUACUUCUGAAAGCCCUUCUCGCUGACAUUUUAUCCAAUAGCUGAAACACAACUUUACAAUUGAAAUAUAACUUCUGGCAAUAAUGAACAAGAAUGGGAUCGUUCACAUUUCCAUCUGUGGUUAAGACAAGUGUUCACAGGACCUGUCUCCUAACAUAGAGAAGAUUGGCAGCCAGAAAGACCUGGAUAUCCCACCUCCAUUGCCCACUGCACUGUGGUUACAGCAUGAAGUCAUAACUGGCUCUUUAGUUCUAUGCCAUGAAAUUCACCUCUCAUUUUCAUGCUUGUGCACUAAUCCUAAAAGUAUCAUAUUCCCAAAUGUUUAUUUUGUUUUCUGUAUUUGCAAAUACUUGUUUUCUUUUCUUAAUGGAGUUUGUAGGCCCAUAAGUUACUUCUACUCAAUUUUAUCAUUUCAAUAUGAUUAUUUCAUGUUCUGAGGAUUGGUUGGAAAAAGAUCCUAGUCAUUAGUGUACAGGUUCCAAUCUCAAAUAUAAAAUCUAUGCAUGGAAUCCUUACUAAUUUUUUUUACCUGUAUAAUUUCUUUAUGUUACUAUGGCUCCUACCACCUUCACUUCAUUUAUGUUCAAAUCAACAAUAUUAUUCAUAUUAAAAACAUAUGCUCUAUAGCUCCC
ensembl:lincRNA predicted gene, 20754